AAAAGGUAUUCAACUGGUGUUUUAGUUUUAGAGGGUUCGAUUACUGAACAAUACAGUAGAAAUAGAUUCUUUUAACAAACUUUUACUUUUACCAAAAAAAGUUUUAAUUUACCAAAAAAAGUUUCUUUACUUAUUUUAAAUACAUAACCAGGAACGCUAAGGUAUAGGCAUCAAACAACUUGUAUAUUUUAGAACAUUUUUUUUAAAGAACUUGCAUAUUUACAUACAUGCAUGUAGACAGGACCGCUUACUAGGAAUGGCGGCCGCCAACAGGGCACCACCCUUAUCUCCUUGCAUAAUGCAAAUAUGUUGGUCUUGCAUAAUGCAAAUAUGUUGGUCGGGACAUGUAAAUAUCUAAUCUAUAAAGCUAAAAUUAUUUUUUGAAACGAUUUUUUCAUAUCGUUUGUUAUACGGAAGUGAUUUUAACACGAUUACCAAAAAAAUAUACACAAGACUUGUAUCUGCGAAUUGUAACUAAUUUGACUAAGAUAUCAUAUGAGAAUUCUUAACUGAAACUUUUAAGCGGUA
rnacentral:lncRNA from 1 species